rnacentral:sRNA from 13 species
UUUUUCACUAUUUUAGCUUGGAAGAUGUACUUAUGAUUCAACAUCCAUGGAUUGUCCUGUGAAUGUGGGGUCGACUGGCAAUGAUGAGAUGUGUAAUUUCUACAUCGUGUUUUACACAGACAGCUCUGUGCAGGAGCCUUAGGGAGAAUGUUUAGGUAAUUCAGAACCAGAUUUAACUGGCAACAACUUCCCAGCUGAUGUGAGUUUUCCAUUACCGCCAAACCCUGCCCUUGAAGAAGAAGCCAAGGGUGUUCACAACCAUCAUGGUGGCAUGGCAGGCGGAAACAAUGGUGAGUUUUUAUGAUGUAGUGACUUAUUAAUUAGUUACUCUAUUUAUACUGCACAGACCAGAAAACAUAUGAAGAAUCGCGCUACUCUUGUUAUUUAGAUUCUUCUCAGGAGUGAUCCAGUAGUCCAUUUAUUGAUUUGCUAUAUUAGUGCAUUCAUGGGCAAAUUUGAAUUAUUGCUAUAGCCAUUUAAUAAUAAUGUAGUUUACUAAAAAAGAAAAAAAAGUGGCUUCUUAAUGUAUCAUACAAUAUUUUACAUUUGUAAAUAACUUUAUUUUGUACCAUACAAUAUUAGGCUAACAAGUGCAACUUUAAAAAUCACUCUGAUUAAUAAUGAUCUACAGAAAGUGACUAUUAGCUUGUAAGUAAAUUAGAUUUCAUGAAAAACAAAUAAAUUCCUAAGUGUAUGAAACUUUUAUGAAACUUGAAGUAUGUCAGGUAAUUGUUUUGGUAAUAGCUCUUAAAUGUUCGUUAGUAUGCAUUGGACUGUAUCCGUUGGGCUAAGGACUGGAUCUAAAGGUUCUAGAACAAUUCCAGAAGAUUCAAAUUAUUACCUGAAACAGAAAUUUGGAUUUAAAACUUUUAAGCUGGUUUCUUGAACUACCCACCUUGAUGUUAUCAAGAUCACUGUAUCCUACAAUGAGAAACAAGCCACACAAUACAUAUAUACAUUGUCAAACUGUAGAUUAAACCAAUCAUUUUACAUUUUUCUUAUUGAUUGACUACUUUAUCUUGAGAGUCUUUUAUAUGAGUAUGUUUUGAAAUAGUUGUGAUUUUGUUGUAUUCAAUCUCCAAUCUGUGUAAGCUCUGCUCUAAGACACAGUUCUGAUGGAAGCUCUGCUCUAAGACACAGUUCUGAUGGAAGCUCUGC